GCAGUGUGGUGGAGUGAUGUCCCCAUCCCCCAUUAGCUGGCUGAUGUGCCCUUGAGCAAGGAAAGUGCAUAGAAGAAUUUGAUUUACUGUAACAUUUUAAUGCACCGAGGCUCAGUGUAGCAGCGGUGAGGGGAGGCUGACAGUGUGGAAGCAUCAGUGAAAAGAACGACCUCACAGUUACAGGACAAUUACCCCUGAGGACGUCAUCAGCUCUCUCUUCACUCCACAGCUGUCGGUGGUGGAGUCCAAAGGCAAGACACAAACACGGGGGAAGGAAGGGCAGAGGUGGGGACAGAAGAUUCCCCACAGAAGGACUGUCAGGCUUCCAUGGAGGCUGUUUGUGCCCCCAUGACUGAGAGGCCGUGGUCCUCUGAAAAAAGGCCGCCUUUUGCAAAGGAGCUGAAUAAGGCCCAUUAUGAAGUAUCCAACAGAAAAAGCCAUCACAGCAUUUAGAUUUAUUAGGAGUUCCCUGCUUUCAGCGACGGGAGUUUCCCAGCAAGACUGUCUCCUCUCUCCUACAAACCAUGGAUCAUCGUACAGCGCCCAAGUUCUGGUAUUCACAAUUAUUAUUGUCAUUUUAUGUCUCCGAAUGGUUGCACCAGUUGCAGGUAUGUUUCCAGAGACUUAAUCCAGGACCUGAAAAAUUGGCGAUCCGUGGAAAAGGUCACACAUUCCCAACCACUCCCAGUGGGAAAACAGGAGAGUCCACACCUUCUCAGAAAAGCAGAGGCCUACUACCCUGAAAUCUGACAAUAAUUACCUCAUGGAUUUCUGCAUAUUAUAAUGCCAAACUCUUUAUCUGCAGGUCUUCACUCAGUGGUGUUCAGCCAGUCUGGACAUCAUCAGCACACAACGUAUAGGCUAUGGGACAGUUUUAACUGUAAAACCUCUACAUUUAAUGUAUUCAGUUUUUGGCAAAAUCUGCCAAAGAGCUCAGAAUUUACUUGCCUGAAUGUUUAAAAUUCCAAGUGCGAUUCAAAGCUCAGUAAAUCACAAACUGUAGGCUAUGUGUCUGUAUCGCUGAACCACCGAGCCUUUAUCACGCUGUAUCUCAAAUUCCACAAACAUAAAGAUUUAAUCAAGUGUUGCAAAAAUGUGACAGCCACGGUUUGACAGCAGUGCACUGAGAGCACAGAGGACCCAUUAGCUGCCUCUGAAUCGAUGCCAGGGCGAUCUCAGAGGCUUGAGAAUGCUGGUGAUUGCCGUAAUUGCUGUGCAGCAGUGGUAUGAUACGGAGUUGAAUAAAAAAACUUUAGCGCUCACAUGUUUCUAUAGGAACCUCUCUAACAUUGUAAAGAUGUGGUCUUAGUUUACUGACAGCCUGUACGCUCAGCUUUUAUGGUACAAGCAUGACUGAAAUGGUUUGUGUUAAAUUUGAUUGUUCUACAGCUCUGGAAUAUAUGUUAAGAGACACAGAAACAGCGGUAGACAAAAUAAUGGAAAUAUUUUAAGAUAAAUUGCUUUUACUGCUAGCAUGGCGACAGAUGUGGGUCAUAUUAAGUUGCUGAUUAGCUGAAAUUUGGAACAAUGUGCUAUAAAUUUACAACAUACUGUAUCUCCAUUGGUUAGCUUCAGCUGGUGAAUGCCAUAUUCCUUUUCUGCUGCAGUUUGUCUGUGUUUACCACAUGUUAUUCUGAUUUCUCAGAUUGUUCCUAUUCCAUUUGUUUUGUUUCCUGCACCUGUACUUUAGCCACAGAAGACUUGGCCUCUUUAGAGCUCAGUUAAUUGUCUCCUAUUGUGUCGAAACUUUGAAAGUGAUACCAAAGAAUUGAUUGCCAGAUCCCUUUUAUAGCUGACAGAUGCUGCUGACUGGUAUUCAACCUCAGAUGACCCGUGUCUGAAGCAGCGUUUGCAAAUGUGAUUAAAGUACCGGCGGAAUCAAGCUCCUUUCCAUGUUUAUAUUGUGGUGUCUUCACCCUUUGGAUAGAUAGCACACCUAGUAUCUAUUUUAUCAAGGACACUGCUGUGUAUAAGCAUAAGGAAUCAAGUUGACGGAUUCAGUAUAACUUAAUAUCCAGCUCUUUUAAGUCUGAGACUAUUAGUCAUCAAGAAUUCACAUUUUUUUUAUUGUUAUUUCAUUCCUAAACCCUACAAACAAACUAAGGUGGAAGAUAUUUUAAAGUUAUUUGAUAUUUUAGAUUUAUAAAAACAUGUUUCAGUUUGACACUCCAUGGAUACAGAAAUGCGUUACUCUCUGAGGCUGAACCCAGGGUAUUUUGACCCAGAGUUAUUUUCUAUAUGUUAAAGUUUAAUUAUUUACUCAAAUAUGGUUAUUCUGACCCAGUGCUAAACAGUUUUUACAUUUUUAGGAGUUUCACAUUAAAACUGUCUCCAGUAUAUUUUGAGCUGUUCA